CCUACGGGUGGCAGCAGUGAGGAAUAUUGGUCAAUGGACGGAAGUCUGAACCAGCCAUGCCGCGUGCAGGAAGACGGCUCUAUGAGUUGUAAACUGCUUUUGUACAAGGGUAAACCUGCAUACGUGUAUUCAGUUGCAAGUACUGUACGAAUAAGGAUCGGCUAAGUCCGUGCCAGCAGCCGCGGUAAUACGGAGGAUCCAAGCGUUAUCCGGAUUUAUUGGGUUUAAAGGGUGCGUAGGCGGAUUGAUAAGCUAGAUGUGAAAUGUCCGAGCUUAACUCGGGAAUUGCCUCUAAGACUGGUGAGCUAGAGAGUAGAUGCGGCAGGCGGAAUGUAUGGUGUAGCGGUGAAAUGCUUAGAGAUCAUACAGAACACCGAUUGCGAAGGCAGCUUACUAAUCCAGAUCUGACGUUGAGGCACGAAAGCGUGGGGAGCAAACAGGAUUAGAUACCCCAGUAGUC
rnacentral:rRNA from 1 species